CCUGGGGAAAGGAGGUAGGCAUGAUUCUUAGGCAAAUCCGGGAAUCUCUAUGCCGAGCACCGAGACGAGUCCUAUGAGGACGAAGUGACUGAGACCACGCUUCCAGGAAAAGCCACUAAGCUUCAGCUGUAGAAAAACCGUACCGCAAACCGACACUGGUAGGCAGGGUGAGAAUCCCAAGGCGCCUGAGAGAACUCGGGUGAAGGAACUAGGCAAAAUGGCACCGUAACUUCGGGAGAAGGUGCGCCCUUUGGUGUGGUCACGUGCGUGACUGAGCAUCGAAGGGUCGCGGUAACCUGGCCGCUGCGACUGUUUAUCAAAAACACAGCACUCUGCAAACACGAAAGUGGACGUAUAGGGUGUGACGCCUGCCCGGUGCUGGAGGGUUAAUUGAUGGGGUCAGCCGCAAGGCGAAGCUCUUGAUCGAAGCCCCAGUAAACGGCGGCCGUAACAAUAACGGUCCUAAGGUAGCGAAAUUCCUUGUCGGGUAAGUUCCGACCUGCACGAAUGGCGUAACGACAGCGGCGCUGUCUCCACCCGAGACUCAGUGAAAUUGAAAUCGCUGUGAAGAUGCAGCGUUCCCGCGGCAAGACGGAAAGACCCCGUGAACCUUUACUAUAGCUUUACAUUGAACGUUGAGUUCUUCUGUGUAGGAUAGGUGGGAGGCUAUGAAACCGAGACGCUAGUUUCGGUGGAGCCAUCCUUGAAAUACCACCCUGAAGUGCUUGACGUUCUAACCUAGGUCCGUAAUCCGGAUCGGGGACCAUGUAUGGUGGGUAGUUUGACUGGGGCGGUCUCCUCCCAAAGAGUAACGGAGGAGCACGAAGGUACGCUCAGCGCGGUCGGACAUCGCGCACUGUGUGCAAAGGCAUAAGCGUGCUUGACUGCGAGAUCGACGGAUCAAGCAGGUACGAAAGUAGGUCUUAGUGAUCCGGUGGUUCUGUAUGGAAGGGCCAUCGCUCAACGGAUAAAAGGUACUCCGGGGAUAACAGGCUGAUACCGCCCAAGAGUUCAUAUCGACGGCGGUGUUUGGCACCUCGAUGUCGGCUCAUCACAUCCUGGGGCUGUAGCCGGUCCCAAGGGUAUGGCUGUUCGCCAUUUAAAGUGGUACGCUAGCUGGGUUCAGAACGUCGUGAGACAGUUCGGUCCCUAUCUGUCGUGGGCGUUGGAGAUUUGAGGGGGGCUGCUCCUAGUACGAGAGGACCGGAGUGGACGUUCCGCUGGUGUUCGGGUUGUCAUGCCCAUGGCAUUGCCCGGUAGCUACGAACGGAAGUGAUAACCGCUGAAAGCAUCUAAGCGGGAAGCACGCCCCAAGAUGAGAUCUCCCGAGAGCUAGACUCUCCUUAAGGCACCAUCAAGACUAGGUGGUUGAUAGGCGCGGUGUGGAAGUGCAGCAAUGCAUUGAGCUUACGCGUACUAAUGAGCCGUGAGGCUUGAUC
rnacentral:rRNA from 1 species